rnacentral:rRNA from 1 species
GAUGAACGCUGGCGGCGUGCCUAAUACAUGCAAGUCGAGCGAACAGAUAAGGAGCUUGCUCCUUUGACGUUAGCGGCGGACGGGUGAGUAACACGUGGGUAACCUACCUAUAAGACUGGAAUAACUCCGGGAAACCGGGGCUAAUGCCGGAUAACAUUUAGAACCGCAUGGUUCUAAAGUGAAAGAUGGUUUUACUAUCACUUAUAGAUGGACCCGCGCCGUAUUAGCUAGUUGGUAAGGUAACGGCUUACCAAGGCAACGAUACGUAGCCGACCUGAGAGGGUGAUCGGCCACACUGGAACUGAGACACGGUCCAGACUCCUACGGGAGGCAGCAGUAGGGAAUCUUCCGCAAUGGGCGAAAGCCUGACGGAGCAACGCCGCGUGAGUGAUGAAGGUCUUCGGAUCGUAAAACUCUGUUAUUAGGGAAGAACAAAUGUGUAAGUAACUGUGCACGUCUUGACGGUACCUAAUCAGAAAGCCACGGCUAACUAUGUG